rnacentral:rRNA from 1 species
GACGAACGCUGGCGGCGUGCCUAAUACAUGCAAGUUGAGCGCUGAAGGUUGGUACUUGUACCAACUGGAUGAGCAGCGAACGGGUGAGUAACGCGUGGGGAAUCUGCCUUUGAGCGGGGGACAACAUUUGGAAACGAAUGCUAAUACCGCAUAAAAACUUUAAACACAAGUUUUAAGUUUGAAAGAUGCAAUUGCAUCACUCAAAGAUGAUCCCGCGUUGUAUUAGCUAGUUGGUGAGGUAAAGGCUCACCAAGGCGAUGAUACAUAGCCGACCUGAGAGGGUGAUCGGCCACAUUGGGACUGAGACACGGCCCAAACUCCUGCGGGAGGCAGCAGUAGGGAAUCUUCGGCAAUGGACGAAAGUCUGACCGAGUAACGCCGCGUGAGUGAAGAAGGGUUUCGGAUCGUAAAACUCUGUUGGUAGAGAAGAACGUUGGUGAGAGUGGAAAGCUCAUCAAGUGACGGUAACUACCCAGAAAGGGACGGCUAACUACGUG